AGUGGCCAACUAACAAAUGAAAAAAUGCUCAACAUCACUAAUAAUCAGGGAAAUGCAAAUUAAAGAUGAGAUCAUCUUACACCAGUCAGAAUGGCUAUUAUUAGAAAGUUAAGUAAGUUAAUACUUAAUAAACUCCCAUAUAUAGAUAUAUAGAUAUAUCUAUAUAUGGGAGUUUAUUAUAUAAUAUAUAUAUAAAUGCUGAUACCAAGUAGGUAAAAUCUCAGAUGCUACAUAGUUCCUGACAAACAUACUUAGUAAUAAAUGCAAAAAAAAGUGCCUCGACAUUCAAAAUUGUAAACAUUACUGACAUUAAAGAAAACAUAAAUAUCCCAGCCUCUGGUAACCAUCCUUCUACUCUCUAUCUUCAUGAGUUCAAUAGUUUUAAUUUUUAGCUCCCCAGUUAAAGUCCAAGCUUUUUAACUUAUAGAGUGGAGAUGACAAUACAUUUAAUACCAGUUACACAGAGUUAUCCCAAUGAUAAAAUUGAGUGAUGUGUGGUUAAAAAAAAGUGUACAUUUUAAGGGACUCUGUAUAUGGGAGUGAUUAUAAUGAAUGCUAAGAGAUGGACUGGAGCUGCAGAGGUAUUGGGACAGACAUAUGUCAUCCUCAAAAAAAGGUUUUUUUGAUGAAAGAACUGAGUUCCUUCAGGAAUUCAAGAGUAAGAUUGCGUUUCUUCUUGAUAGGGAGAGAACAGCAAAAUUUGAAUACUUAACGUUAGCACACUGAGCCUAAAUCGUCUCAAUUUC
rnacentral:lncRNA from 1 species